CUUAUAUUCCGGGGCAGAACCAACAUAUUUACAAAUUUCUCUUAUCAAGGAAGGGACUGGAAGGACUUUCUGCUUUGCAGCCAGAGCCCAGUGGACAGGGGCAGGGGCUCUGAGUCCAGGCUACUGGGGGGUGGGAGGAGCCAGGGAUGGGGGUAACCUCAGCUCAGCCACCUGGGAGCGGUUGAACCUUCCAGUACCUCUGGAGUGUAACACAGCGGGGACAUAACCUACCCUGCUGCACUACUACAAGGUGACGAUGAUUUAAUAGAACUGAAGCCUGAGAACAAAACUGGAACUUCCAAGGGCUCUGUAAGUAUUAGCUGUUAUCGUCUUUCCCUAACUUUUUUUCUCAGUAAGAUUAUUCUCAGAUCUCCGUUUUAGCUGCUCAAAGGGGCUCAUGGCUUGGCUGCCCUGAACUAUACCCUCCUCUGCGCCAGCUAUCAGACUAAGAGCUUGACACUCAGCAUCUCAUUUGCUUGACACUCACCAUCUCGUUUGUUCCUAAUGGAUGGAGAGGGGGCGAAUGGGACAGCAGAGUGGGGGUGGGGGAACGGGCGUUUGUGACUUCAAUGCUCUAGAACCAUCAGCCCCCACCGUGGCCACCCCUGCUCCAAGAAGGAUCCCAGAUCCUUCCUACUGGGGAUCCUCCCUGCUGUAUGUUGCACCCCUCCAACUGCCCCUUGUGGAGCUGGGUGGCUGCCCAGUCAAGUCAAGAACACUCCAGUGUCAGGAAGGCUCCCGCCCUGGCUUAUGAGAUCCUGGACAGGUUAGUUAGUCUCUCUAAGCCUCAAUUUCCUCUUCUGUAAAUGGAGAAAAUCAUAGCGCUGUUUAUGUCGAUUAAUAAUAAUAAUAUAUUGUUACUGGGAGACAUACCUGCCCAUUCAAUUCUGGGGUCCCAGCACUAAACUGAAUGAACUACAGACUGACCAGCUCUGGAGAGAGAAGAGGAAGUAGCCCCUGCAUGUACAGAUGGGUCCCGGAGAAGAUGGAGCCUCAUCCCUCCCAGAGUUGAGGCAGGAAGGCUGGAAGCUGGAGGUUGUCUCAGCUAGGAAGGGAAUCAGAGCUGCAGUCAGGGCUCUCUGACUCCCACCAGCCCAAGGCAAGUCUCCAUCAAAGCAACUACCAUCUGAUUUUAAAUACGCACCGGACUUCUCAUUCUGAAUGCAUUUCUCUAAAAUUGGGGCUCUCAAUUAGAAAUGCAAAUUCCCGAGCCCCACCCCAGACCUACAGAAACGGAAACUGGGAGGGUGGGGCCCAGGGAUCGGUUUUAACAGGCCCUCCAGGUGACUGACAGUUCCCAAAGCUGGAGGAGCACUUCUCCCAAACAGCUCUCCCUCACAAAUGCUCCCCAGAGAGAGGCCCAGUGUCCUGCUCUUGGACCCUGACACCCACGGGAGUGUAACGAGGCAGACACACGGCCAAGAUAUACAGAGUCGGGGAGGGAAGGAGCCCAGCUGGCUGUGGGCAGGUGAGUCGGGGAGGGAAGGAGCCCGGCUGGCUGUGGGCAGGUGAGUCGGGGAGGGAAGGAGCCCGGCUGGCUGUGGGCAGGUGAGUCGGGGAUGGGAGGAGCCUGGCUGGCUGUGGGCAGGUGAGUGGGAAAUAAUAAGCAGGUGGAAGCAGAGGGGUGAGAUGACAUCAAAGGGGAGGACAGAAAGAGGAGCGGCUGCCUGUGUCAGUGGCAGAGACAGACAAGAGGUAGGAGCUGCGGGAUGCACUGGGCUCGCUGAUCAAAGAUGGAGGGAUACGAGCUACAAGUCUGACUUGUAACCAGUGUCAUGAACACCUCACUGACUUGUAGAGAACCUGGAAAAACAGGAUAUCUGAACAAAACCGAAAGAAAGCCAGAUGGACUGACGCUCAAAGUAUGUAAAGGCUGCUACUUCAAUGAUUUCAUGAGAAAGACAUUUUCACGAGGAAAAUGACUGAAAAAAAAAAAAAAAAUCAGACACCCUUUGGUUCAAAAUCCCUCCUACUACAAGCACACACACACACACACACAAAAAACACAUCGAAGUGUAAAAACUUAGUUGAUUCCGGUUUGAUUUCUGGCUGGAAGCUGACAGAACUGACUGAAGAGAAACGAAAGAGAGGGGGACUGCAGGGGAAACGGAGUAUUUGUGCCUUCCGUUCUGGUCUUUCUUCCUAAAGACAGACGAGAAAAAGGACCCAGCGCCAGGUGAAGAAGGUGCACCGCGCAGGUUUACCCAAACCGAUCGAGACCAGCGUCUUGGCAGCCUCCCCGACUGGAAAACCUAAACUACAUUUUCCCUUACACACGCUAAUGCGGGGAGAUUUUCGCCUAUUUCAUUGUUCUGCCUGGCUCUGAAAUGGACUUUUCCUCUCUGCCCCCCUCUCAUCACCUAGCCCCGCACAUUCCGAUCCGACAGCCCCCCAAAAUCUGAGGCUCGCGAAGAAUAAAGGAGUGUGUGUGUGUGUGUUGUGUGUGUGUGUGUGUGUGUGUGUUGGGGGGUGGGGGGUGUGGAGGGAAACGGGAAAGGAGCUGGGAGGACGGAGAGUGGAAACAGAUCACCCUAAAGGUAAUUUUCUUUAGUGGCGGGGGGUGGAGAUGAAAAGCUACACCGCAUCACCUUUAUUUCUUACAAAUAAAUAAAAAGCACCGUCACGGGUCUGUCUUUUUCCCGGCGCCCCC